GGUCCAGAGUUAAAUGAGACUAUCUUUUCAGUCUGGAAAUUCCUUCUUUUCUCCUAAAAAAAAAAAGUGGAGUAUUGGGUAGCUUGGAGAAGAAAGUGGCCAGUAUCCUUUUCUUUUUUGUCUGCUAUUUGAAAAAAAAAAAAGAUUUUUUUUCAGCCUUGUUCAUUAAUACUGCUGAUGUUAGUGAUCACAUCAUUUAAAACAGCAAAAUGUAUCUCACCUGCCUCCAUGCUGCCUUUUAAAUAUAAUUCUCUGGUGUUCUUUUAUUUGCUUAUUGGACUGUAAAAGUCUCUGUUUAUGUAUGUAUACUCUCAACUGUUUUUAUUUUAGUUUUCUGUCAUUGCUGCUGCUGUUUUCUACAGUUUCUCUAAUCAGUUACAGCUUUUUUGAGCCAAUGAGUGUGGAGAAUACCUUUCAAAAGAGAUAUCAGCUCUUUCAGCCAAAAAGCCUCAUCAAACUCAAGAUCCUGGAGACAUGACAAGCUGUCUGGCUAGGCUGAGGAUAUUGGACCUCAGGACAGGUGACCACGGAGUGAAGGAGGAUGUGAAAUCUUUGCCAUCAUCCUGCAGAGGAUGGAUGAGGGGGCUCCGAGCAGACAUAAAGUGCUUUGGAUCGGUGGGUUUCACUUGGAUUGAAACUUGGUGUGGCUCUGAUGCUUUUGUUCUUAGUAGAGGAAGAGUUACCAUAACACCACUGACCAUGCUAAUGAAGACCACAGACUUCACUCAUUUCAGAAGCCUGGAGCCCUGCCUCAUAAGAGAUGCGGAGAGAGAAAUGAGAGAUUAGAAUUGGG
rnacentral:lncRNA from 1 species